rnacentral:rRNA from 1 species
CGCCUCUUAGCGGGGGGUAACUAUUGGAAACGAUAGCUAAUACCGCAUAAAAGUCGAUAUCGCAUGAUGUUGACUUGAAAGGUGCAAUUGCAUCACUAAGAGAUGGACCUGCGUUGUAUUAGCUAGUUGGUGAGGUAACGGCUCACCAAGGCGACGAUACAUAGCCGACCUGAGAGGGUGAUCGGCCACACUGGGACUGAGACACGGCCCAG